AACGAACGCUGGCGGCAUGCCUAACACAUGCAAGUCGAACGAGACCUUCGGGUCUAGUGGCGCACGGGUGCGUAACGCGUGGGAACCUGCCCUUAGGUUCGGGAUAACUCCCCGAAAGGGGUGCUAAUACCGGAUAAUGUCUUCGGACCAAAGAUUUAUCGCCUUUGGAUGGGCCCGCGUUGGAUUAGCUAGUUGGUAGGGUAAAAGCCUACCAAGGCGACGAUCCAUAGCUGGUCUGAGAGGAUGAUCAGCCACACUGGGACUGAGACACGGCCCAGACCCCUACGGGAGGCAGCAGUGGGGAAUAUUGGACAAUGGGCGAAAGCCUGAUCCAGCAAUGCCGCGUGAGUGAUGAAGGCCUUAGGGUUGUAAAGCUCUUUUACCCGGGAUGAUAAUGACAGUACCGGGAGAAUAAGCUCCGGCUAACUCCGUG
rnacentral:rRNA from 1 species